UUUCCGUAGGUGAACCUGCGGAAGGAUCAUUGUCGAAACCUGCCCAGCAGAGCAACCUGCGAACGUGUACGUAAUAUUCGGAAAGCAAGCGGUGGCCUUGCAGCCCCAAUUGUGGCCCGCUGUUGGGGGGUGCACUCCGACCCCCUAAGGGGAGACGCGUGAACACCCCAACAAAACAACGAAACCCGGCGCGAACCGCGCCAAGGAACUUUAAGAAAAAAAGAGAGCCUUCCCCCGAUGCCCUGUUCGCGGGUGCUAGGGGGGUAGUGUCAUCUCUCUCACGAAUCUAAACGACUCUCGGCAACGGAUAUCUCGGCUCUCGAAAUGCGAUACUUGGUGUGAAUUGCAGAAUCCCGUGAACCAUCGAGUUUUUGAACGCAAGUUGCGCCCGAAGCCAUUAGGUUGAGGGCACGUCUGCCUGGGCGUCUCACAUUGCGUCGUUCCCGAUCCCAACCACAACGGGUGUUGGUGUUCGGAAGCGAAUUUUGGCCCCCCGUACACUCACGUAUGCGGUCGGCCUAAAAACGAGUCCCUGGCGAUGCGUGUCACGACAAGUGGUGGUUGAUAAGCCGUUGCGUCCUGUCGUGCACUGCUUCGUCGCCGGCGGUUUCUCUAACGACCCUGAAGUGCCGUUGCAACGGUGCCUCGAUCGCGACCCCAGGUCAGGCGGGACUACCCGCUGAGUUUAA
rnacentral:sRNA from 1 species